AUAGCGUAUAUUAAAGUUGUUGCAGUUAAAAAGCUCGUAGUUGAACCUUGGGCCUGGCUGACCGGUCUGCCUCACCGUAUGCACUGGUUUGGUCGGGCCUUUCCUUCUGGGUAGCCACAUGCCCUUUAUUGGGUGUGUUGGGGAACCAGGACUUUUACUUUGAAAAAAUUAGAGUGUUCAAAGCAGGCAUAUGCUCGAAUACAUUAGCAUGGAAUAAUAGAAUAGGACGUGCGGUUCUAUUUUGUUGGUUUCUAGGACUGCCGUAAUGAUUAAUAGGGAUAGUCGGGGGCAUCCGUAUUCAAUUGUCAGAGGUGAAAUUCUUGGAUUUAUUGAAGACGAACUACUG
rnacentral:rRNA from 1 species